rnacentral:pre_miRNA from 1 species
UUUGUACUCCCUCCGUCCCAAAAUUCUUGUCUUAGAUUUGUCUAGAUAUGGAUGUAUCUAAUACUAAAACGUGACUUGAUACAUCUGUAUUUAGACAAAUCUAAGACAAGAAUUUUGGGACGGAGGGAGUACUAA